ACUGGGAAGAAGAGCAGGUCAGCAGUCCAAAUAUUCUACGACUCAUUUAUCAAGGGCGAUUUCUACAUGGAAAUGUCACAUUAGGAGCAUUAAAACUUCCUUUUGGCAAAACAACAGUGAUGCAUUUGGUGGCCAGAGAGACAUUGCCAGAGCCAAACUCUCAAGGUCAGAGGAAUCGUGAGAAGACUGGCGAGAGUAAUUGUUGUGUAAUCCUGUAAACACUGUCUGCCUAGUGUGAUGUGAUAUAGUCUUUGUCUUUCAUGCUGCUGGGACAGAAAAGACCCGCCAUUGCUUGAGAAACCGUUCAGAACAGUCUGCUGUAAGCCCAUGGAACUGAAUGACCACAUGAACACUGUCCUCUUUUCUCAUGAAAGUAAAAGCACCAAGAACAUUUUUCACUCUGAUUUUUUAUUUCUCCUCUUUUUAUGUUGAGCUGUUUUAAAACAUACUGGUUUUUGAAUGUCAAUCUCCAGGGGAAAAGUUAACAAGUUAUCUUUCGUAGCAGAAACCAUUUUGCUGCCACAAAAUUUUCAUCAUCAGAACUAAUAAAGCAAGUGUUCCAAAUACAAUUUGCACUAAAAAGAUUGGCAUUAUUUUGCCCAUCAGCAGAAUUUAUAACAGUUUAUGGUACCUAGAAAUACUUACAUAUACAAUUCCACACUGGAAGACACUCAGCAAUUAAUGAAGUUAAUUACUGGGCCAACUUGAGAGGAAAAAAUGGAAAAGAAACAAAAAUGUUGGGUGAAUUCUACCAAAGUCAGCCGUGGUGGCUGCACUGGCACAGAAUACUAAACUGAGUGUGACUCUUUUCACUGCAACAAAUGAAAAAACAAAAUGUGCCUGUUUAAAGCACUCAGUAGAGGGCUGAUGAAACUGAUUUUUUUCCCUUUAAGACAUGCACUCUUGAGUCCUGCAGUAACUGAGCGCUUGUUUAGACAGCACAAGAAGGGGUGAGAGUGCGUCUCCUAGCCUUAAUGUGGGAGGGUAGUUCCAGUCACUCAUCGGCUUUCCUUAUUGUGCAGAAAUAUUAGAAAACCUCAUUGAUCAAUUUUACGUAUUUGAAUAUCAGUGAAUUGAAAUUUUCCAUAAUUAUCAUUCAUUUGUAAUCACAUCCAGUGUCAUUCUUACUCCUUAGAGAGUUCAAAUGAAUUCUUAAAAUUUAAAAAGAAAAACUCCAUAGUACUAAUUUUGUUUCUUUAUAUAGUUUGCAUUUGAUAUUAGUGCUUGCAAUUGUAUUAAAGUCAAAAGCUGAUUUUUAUGGCAUACACAAUUAAGAAUGCCACUUUUUCUUUUAUUUCAUACCAAUAAUUUAAAGAUUGAUAUGCUAAAAACAAUUUGCACAGCACUAAAGCAUGAGCUAGUUUCAUCUAAACCUGUAAAAAUAUGAAAGAUUUUAUAUUUUUUCACUGGGAAGAAAUUCUUCCUGGGUGAAAUUACAAAUAUGUGUAGAAUAUAUUUAAUAAAAGACUUAUAAAAUACCUAACUAUAGGACUUAAAAUAUAGAUUGGCUUGUAGUAUAUAGAACAAUAUUCCAUAUAAAUAAAUUUAGCCUUUAUAAAAAUGAAGUUACAGGCUGGCAUUACAUUCUGUACUUACUAAGUGUCAACAGCCCUUAAAAACAUUAAAUGUAAAUGGUUUCAAAUGGUCAGCGUUGUUUAAAUGUAAUCAGGUUAUUUUAUUCAUUGUUAAUGCUUUGAUGAAAAGGCUUUAUACGCAGUAGAUCUACGAAAAUAUUGUUCAUACUGAUCAGAAUUAAAUUUGUAUAGAGCAGAGUUUUAAAACGAAUGUAAAUAGCACUAAACAUUUUCUUUCUGCAACCUGUACUUAUAGAUUCUUCCUGUAAACUAAAUAAAAAAAAAAAUCAUAGUGCAUUUUGGUGGUAAUUUUAAAGGUCUUGAUUAGGUCAAUAAUUGUUAAAGCACUGUCUCAUUCAUGUUUUCUACUUUUAUUUCUUAAGCUUUUAAAAUUCAUUUAAUUAAUAUUCUGUUGUUGGUUUGGGGAGUAUUCCCAAUGUAUCUUUGAUAUUUAACAUGGUUAAUUUGUAUACAGUCACAACAAUGGAUAGAAUUAUGUAGUCUGUGUUAUCACUAAAAUGUUAUAUUCAAGAGAUGUUAAAUAUAUGCUUUGUUGACUAGCUGAAAUGUGAAUUCUGUUAGUGUUGACUAAAGAAUCUGGUAGUUGCUUAAUUGGGCAAUUAAAACAAUUUAUGGCUCUAUUCUUUUGUAAAACAAACUACUGGUAAUUAUUUUUAAUACUUAUUUUCAUUCUAAUUACUCUUUUUUUAAGUUAAAGACUAUCAGUUAAUUAAGAUUGAGUUUUUAUGAUGUUUAAAAAUCUCUAUUGGUUUUUCAAUAUAUUUUUCUGUGUGUUCUCAGAUUAUAUAUUUCAAUCAAUUUAGAGUUUGCUAAGUGAGAUAAACUGGUUCACUAGUAGAGAAAGAAUUAUGUCGCUUAAUACCUAAUAUCAUAGUUGUACAACAUGAAAAAAAAUAAAAAGUAGCAGUAAAAGUAUAUACUGAAAACACCAAAAAUUUAGAUGCCUUAAUAGUAUAUACGUGAAAAUACUCAGCUGCCCCUUUAAAAAUAAUUUCUUGGACUGCCUGGUGGUUAAAAUACGAUUCCUCAUAUCCAAGGCUACUUUUGAAGAUCCCUCUGCCAAAAGUACAGCGUGCUUAUCUAAAAGUGAGAGCUGCAUAGAUCCAGUAAUGUACAUAAAGCCUGAAUGAUGAGCCUAUGUCCCUGCCUAACGCUGGUGUCUCACUCAUCUCUUUUAUCUAAUUUGUCCUGAACUUUGUUAAGUGUUCCGGAUGAGGCCAAGCUUUUCUUUAUUAAAACCUUAGCAUGUCUCCCUGAUCUGAACUAUUUGCUUUCUCUUCAAGAUAAGUUGUAUUUUGCCAUGAAAAAAUACAGUAUCUAACGUUACCAUUCACAUUAAAUGAAGUUUCCGCAUAACAUCUAUCUUUAGUUUUAUGAAGUCAUCGUGACCAAUGUUACAGUAAUUUCUGUUAGCUGAUUGUGGUAAGCAAUGUUUAAUGUGAAAAGAAAUUAAAACUUCAUCUGUUGUAGAA